rnacentral:sRNA from 1 species
AUGAAACAGCGAUCCGUGACCUCGAGCACGUCCUGCCAGCGGUUCGAGUUGUUUUCGUCC